rnacentral:rRNA from 1 species
GAUGAACGCUGGCGGCGUGCCUAAUACAUGCAAGUCGAGCGAACGGACGAGAAGCUUGCUUCUCUGAUGUUAGCGGCGGACGGGUGAGUAACACGUGGAUAACCUACCUAUAAGACUGGGAUAACUUCGGGAAACCGGAGCUAAUACCGGAUGAUAUUUUGAACCGCAUGGUUCAAAAGUGAAAGACGGUCUUGCUGUCACUUAUAGAUGGAUCCGCGCUGCAUUAGCUAGUUGGUAAGGUAACGGCUUACCAAGGCAACGAUGCAUAGCCGACCUGAGAGGGUGAUAGGCCACACUGGAACUGAGACACGGUCCAGACUCCUACGGGAGGCAGCAGUAGGGAAUCUUCCGCAAUGGGCGAAAGCCUGACGGAGCAACGCCGCGUGAGUGAUGAAGGUCUUCGGAUCGUAAAACUCUGUUAUUAGGGAAGAACAUAUGUGUAAGUAACUGUGCACAUCUUGACGGUACCUAAUCAGAAAGCCACGGCUAACUACGU